CGGUGAGAUGUCAAGUUCAUCACUCAGCAAAAUGCCUGUCAGGCAAUCAGAGACUGCAGCAUAUUAAAGAGCAAAUAUGGAUAUUCAGAACUUCAUGCGAAAGAGUUCAGUUUGAGCAGCUUGAGGUGUCAGUGAAUGAGGUGGAGAGAAAGUCAUAGUGCAGUAGCAGCAGCAGAGUUAGCCAGAGGUUUGCGCAGGGUUGGUGGUAGCUAACUAGCUAGUCUCCCUCAGCAUAAAGAUUGGCUAAUGCUAAUAAGCUAGAGUUAGCACUCGGGAUCCUUAAGCUAUUGGGUGUCAGAGUUAUUUAAUAGUAUAUUUAGUGAAUGGGCAAGCUAAGGAUGUUAAGUCAUGAUAUUAGAAAAAGUGUUUAUUUACAGUGAGUGUAUUUAAUGGGUUUCGCUUCUUUAGCUAGCUUGGCUGGCUAGCCACUUCGCUAGCUAGCUGAGACUGAAUAUACGAGAGAAUGUUUUUCUGACUGAAGCACAUAUCUUCAGACAGUGACACAGUGCCCACCUGUGGACUGAAGCUGAACUUUACUACAGCAUUAUAUUUAAUCCCGUUUAAAAUGAGCAAUGUUGACGUGGUAAAACAAACUAAAUGAAAUGAAUCAUAGAGGUCUUAACGCCAUUCUACAGAUGAGCCAAGGAGGAGAGAUGAGUAAGGCCAGUGGAGCACUUAGAACAGCAGCAGCCAGUGGCAAAUGGUAGAGAAGAGGAUGAUUUACGUGACCCAGACACAGGCCCAAAACAAGUUAAGCUACCCCAGUAGCCCCUUGACCGGUUUGGAUUGCAAAACUAAAGAGACACGAGUAGAAGAAGAGUAGAGUAGAUGAUGGAGAGAAACACCGGACAAGACAGAGACCACAACAGAAGAGUAUGAUAUGAUGCAGGGAGACACACCACCAGACAAGAGACAGAGACCACAACAGAAGAAUAUGUGAUUGAGAGAGAUACACCAGACAAGACACAGAGACGGCAACAGAAAAAUAGGAUAUGAUGAAGAGAGACAACAGAAGAACAGAACAGGCCAUAACAGAGGAAGAUAGACCCACACUACAUGACAGGAUGAGAGAGGAGGGUAGACAAGAAACAGCAACACAGAGUACUAAAAGACAGCAACAGAAGGCAGACGAGAGACAGCAACAGACGACACACAGAAAGUGAUGGGGAGAGGCAGAGGAGGGGUAAGACUAUCACUUAAAACUGCUCUAUGGAUUCUAAUUACACAUUGUGUGUGUGUGUCAGAGUACUGUGGGAUUCUUUAAUCAGUUUGAACGGGUCAGAGUCUGUUUUACGUUGUUGAGUGGUUUUUGGCAAUACACUGUAUAUGUAUGUGUUCGAGAGUAGAGAGUGUUCCAGAGUAGAGAGACCACAGGGAGCCUGGAUCCCACCUUUGACACUAAACAUGUAGCAGGUGGGAAGGUGCAAGUUUCUUUGAAAAAUAUCUAAUUGCUCAAUGUUCAUCUCAAAGUGCACCAAAUUCAUGCAUUUAGCUGUUGAAAUUUGGUCUGGUUUUUUUGGGACGGGGGAGAAUGCCCCUGGACCUCCCUACUGUUUUUGGGCUAAGCAAGCCUUAUAUGUCUUCAAAUCUUAGAAACUAGCCUUUCUUAAAAUAGCCUUUACUUUCUUUCUAAAUUCUUCAAAGUUUGAUUGAGUCUGCCUGGAUGGGUGGGGUUUGAAAUUUUCACUUUUGGAACUGUUCCAUUGUUUCCAUCAGGCCAGGCACGCUCAAUUAAUCAGAGACAGAGUAUUUGAACCCAGGUAUCUGGUAUUAUCUGCCUGCCCUAAGAAACACAGUGUAACCCAGUCCUAUAAAGCUCCACUCCACAGGGGAGCCGGGAUCCCACCGUUGACACUAAACAUUAAUUAGUCUGACAUUUGUUUAAGAGCCAUUACUGGUGUCCUGGUGAAUGUAAAGAAGGCUCUGUGCAUGGCGCCUUGAGACAUGGGAUAUAAACUAUGCACUGCAAUCACGGCUGUUUGUGAUGACAGCGGGAGGCUGGUGGGUGAAGGCUCCGCGCCACACCUCGUGAGAAUGGGGCUUUGGAGCCUUAAGGGCAGCUGGGAGUCGAUGAGGGUGGUCGUAGCGAACGCAGCGAGGAAGCUGGUUUUGAUCAUCCGGCUAAUGACAUUGGAGGCUGGACCCCCUGUUACCUGCCCUGGAGGGGAGGGAGAGGGGCAUUCUAACAGGUGACGAAAUUACACACUGUCAGAUCCCCCUCACCCAACCAACAUGAGAGGUGCCCUUCGGCAGCCAGGAAAUCAGCUCCAGAUUCCUCUGCAGUAGAGUGGAGUAGUGGGAAUGUGUGAAGAUGCAGCCUUGGACUGGGGGGGUUUUGGAGAGAGCAGAGAGGAGAGGCAUAAGAAGGGAGUAUCCAGGACACUCCACUGAGAGUAAACAGUGUCACAGCCCUGUCUCCUCGCUGGAUGGAUGACUCAGAAUAGGAGAGCGAGAGAGAGGGAGAGCGAGACACUUGGUGGGAGAGGGGGAUGGAGGGAAAAUCCUCUCCACUCCCUAAACAAUGCCAUCUCAAGUCCCACAGCCCACAUUCCCUUCUCUACUGGCCAGAAACAUUGUACCCCAAUGCCUUAUACUGUACAUUUCAUCUACUCUUAUCCAACCCAAUGUUGCCCCAUCUCUUUCCACUGCACAGGACCUCUCAUGAUAACUCCCUCGUGUCAGCUCCUAGCUAGCCAUGCAGCUCCUAGUUAGCCUGUUCAUCAAAGUCAGUAGCUACAAUGUGAUUGUCAUAGAGCUUUUCGUGUCAAUAUGGCACCCAUGAAGAUGUGAAAUCUCAAACAUAGUCUGCCAAAUGUUCAAUAGAGGAUCCAGAUAUUUUUUCUAACCUCUUUGGAUUACAACAAAAUUAAGUGUACUUGUAUUACGUAUUGGAUCAAAAAAUAUAUAUAACUUUUACAUUACUGUAUAGUUUACCAAUAAAAUGGUCACAAGUCC